rnacentral:rRNA from 1 species
ACACGCAUGACACACUGCAUAUCAAUAAGCGGAGGAAAAGAAACUAACAAGGAUUCCCUUAGUAACGGCGAGUGAAGCGGGAAGAGCUCAAAUUUGAAAUCUUCAAGGCUCUACCUUGACGAAUUGUAGUUUAUAGAAGUGUUUUCUGUUAGUAGAGUGGCAAAAGUUCUUUGGAAUAGGACAUCAUAGAGGGUGAGAAUCCCGUAUUUGGUCAUUCUUUCUAGCUUUGUGAUACACUUUCAACGAGUCGGAUUGUUUGGGAAUGCAGUCCAAAAUGGGUGGUAAAUUUCAUCUAAAGCUAAAUAUUGGCGAGAGACCGAUAGCGAACAAGUACCGUGAGGGAAAGAUGAAAAGAACUUUGAAAAGAGAGUUAAACAGUACGUGAAAUUGUCAAAAGGGAAGCGUUUGACACCAGUGUUGUUUUCUCGAAAAUCAAUUAAGAAUGAUGUAUUUUGAUGUUAAGUAUUGACUUUAUCAGGCUUGCUGCUCUUUUUCUGAAUCUUUUUAAUGCACUUUUCGGUUAACAAGUCAACAUCAAUUUCUUUUGUUGUAAAAGAGUCAUUGAGGAAGGUGGCUUUUUCUUCGGAGAAAGUGUUUAUAGCCUUGUGCCUUCUACAAUCGGAGAGAUUGAGGUCUGCAGCGUAGAUCCUUCGGGGUUAGAUACAUUUGUGCUAAGCUAUAGUUCUUUAUAGACAACUUGUUGACUAUAAUCAAUCCUGUAACUUACUCGCUUAUGCUAUUUUACCUACGCUUAGGAUGUUGACUGAUAUGUAGUCGUA